UACGGGGGGGGCAAGCGUUGUUCGGAAUUACUGGGCGUAAAGGGCUCGUAGGUGGCCAACUAAGUCAGACGUGAAAUCCCUCGGCUUAACCGGGGAACUGCGUCUGAUACUGGAUGGCUUGAGAUUGGGAGAGGGAUGCGGAAUUCCAGGUGUAGCGGUGAAAUGCGUAGAUAUUGGGAGGAACACCAGUGGCGAAGGCGGCUCACUGGACCGGUACUGACGCUGAUGCGCGAAAGCGUGGGGAGCAAACAGG
rnacentral:rRNA from 1 species